rnacentral:misc_RNA from 1 species
GCAUCGUGUGAGAACUAUGAAUCUACUAACUUUAUAGAGAAAUAAGUUUCAGGUAGGAACUAAAAGGACCCUGCAACUUCAAACAUGACUAAGAAAUGACUAUUCUAUGAAAUGCCUUCUAGUAGCAGUUUUGUGUCAAGAAAUUAAUUAAGAAACACUUUCUUUAUUUCUGUUUCUCUUUCUCUUCUUUUUCUUUCUCUUUAGCGUAACUACUUGCUUCAUAAGUUAAAAAUGGAUCCAAGGUGAUCAUCUGCUAAUAUUACUGCCACAAGUUCAUUUUUUUCUACAGAAAUCUUUGGAAGUUUUAUUUCCA